rnacentral:misc_RNA from 1 species
UGGGAAACUAAUGGGAAACAGAAACUCCCUCUUCUCUACCCAUUUUCUUGGUCAACAAACAGAAGUUUCCUUUCCAAACCAAGAAGUCAAAAACAAACUAUUUAUCAGGUCGCACCAUUCAUUGCAAUUGGGACGAUCAUGUUAUUGGCCCUUUAUACUUCAAAAAACAGUAGUUGUUGCCUUUUUGCUUUAAAGGGUUAAGCUUCUUAACUUGACUUCUUCAGAACUUUUCUUGGUUCUGGUGAUCGACAGGAGCGAAGAGUUCAGCUUUGUCUUCAUGUGGUCGUGCUGUAGUUCAGGAAAUAAAACCCAGAAUGAUGCUCACUUUGGUGGGAUUGAUAUGAGAAAGAUCUCAUCUGCCACAGUGCCUUCUAUUCCCCAAACAAAUGGUGGGAUCUUACAGUCACCCGAUUUGGUGAGCUUUGGCUUUAGUGAACUGAAAGAAGCCACAAGUAACUUUAAUCAAGAUGCUGUGUUGGGAGAAGAUGGUUUUGGUUUGGUCUUCAAAGGGUGGAUUGAUAAGGAUUCACUAAGGCCUGCGAGGCCUGAGACUGGGAUGCCCAUUGCUGUAAAGAGGCUUAACCAAAAGGGCAUCCGAGGUCAACAAGAAUUGUUGGCAGAAAUAAAAUACAUGGGACAGCUACAUCACCCAAAUCUUGUGAAAUUGAUCGGUUACUGCUUAGAGGAUGACCAUCGGCUUCUGGUCUAUGAGUUUAUUCCCAAUGGCAACCUGGAAGAUCAUCUAUUUGGAAGAAAUUCUCACUGUCAAUCACUCUCUUGGGAUAUCUAUAUGAAAGUUGCCCUUGGUGCUGCUAGGGGUCUCAGAUUUCUUCACGAUGAGGUUCAUGUUAUUUAUCGAGACUUUAAAGCUUCUAAUAUCCUAUUUGAUGGAGUAUGUGAAAAUGUUCAACUAAUGAAUUUGUUUUCCGCAGCAGAUAUGGCACUAUAAAGUCUGAUGUAUUCUUUCCAUCAUGAUGACAAAAAUAUAGUGCCAAACUCUCCGACUUUGGUUUAGCCAGGGAUGGGCCUAUAGAUGGCCAAAGCCAUAUCUCCACAAGAGUUCUGGGUACUGAAGGAUAUACAGCUCCUGAGUGUAUGGGCACAGGUCAUCUAACAGCAAAAAGUGACGUAUUCAGUUUUGGGGCGGUCUUCCUCGAAAUGCUAUAGACAAAACCAGACUUUCCAGAGAACAAAAUUUAGUUGAAUGGGCAAAGCCUUACCUUACCAGCAAACGCAAUGGUUUCCAAGUGUUGGAUGCUUGCAUGGAACGCCAGUAUACCAUUGGUGCCGUGCGAAAAGCAUUCGACCUUGAACUCCAAUGCUUGUCAACAGAACCGACGCGUAGGCCAAAUAUGGAAGAAGUGGUAAAAGCUCUUGGACAACUUUAUCAUACCAAUGACAAUGGAGGCAUUCAAGGGUAAACCCUACAAAUGGUCAAUGACAACUAAAGGAAAUAUCACAGCAAAAGUGAUGAUUAAGUUUGCUAUAAGAAAGCUGAGUGGGUUCUCCUGUAAUCCUUUUUGCUAGUAUAAGUGGGAAAAUAGUUUAUAUAUAUAACUAUUUAAUUGAUUCUAGAAAAUUCUCAUUUAUUUGAGUUUUAUGUGUUGUAAUUUUGUGUAUAUACUUGUACAAUAGCAGUCUACUCUGUAUACUUUCUAUUCCAUCCAUCUAAACUGAGAGAUUUUGACAAUUGUUUUCCCUCUUAUUCUAUAUAUAUACUUUUUGAGUUCC